UACGUAGGGGGCGAGCGUUGUCCGGAGUUACUGGGCGUAAAGGGCACGCAGGCGGUGCGGCGCGUUUCGCGUGACAGCGGAGGGCUUAACUCUCCGAGGAUGCGAAAGACGGCGGCACUUGAGGGCCAGAGAGGGACACGGAAUUCCGGGUGGAGCGGUGAAAUGCGUAGAGAUCCGGAGGAACACCGAAGGCGAAGGCAGUGUCCUGGCUGGUGACUGACGCUGAGGUGCGAAAGCUAGGGGAGCGAACGGG
rnacentral:rRNA from 1 species